UACGUAGGGGGCAAGCGUUGUCCGGAUUUCUUGGGCGUAAAGAGCGUGUAGGCGGCCAUGCAGGUCCGUUGUGAAAACUCGAGGCUCAACCUCGAGACGUCGAUGGAAACCGCAUGGCUAGAGUCCGGAAGAGGAGAGUGGAAUUCCUGGUGUAGCGGUGAAAUGCGCAGAUAUCAGGAAGAACACCCGUGGCGAAGGCGGCUCUCUGGGACGGUACUGACGUUGAGACGCGAAAGCGUGGGGAGCGAACAGG
rnacentral:rRNA from 1 species